GGCUUCAUAGUCGAAUGGUAAGGACACUUGCCUCUCACUCCUGGGGUACCGGGUUCAAUCCCUGGUGGAGGAGCUA